rnacentral:rRNA from 1 species
GACAGAGGGGUGCGAACGUUGCUCGGAAUUACUGGGCGUAAAGCGCGUGUAGGCGGGUGAUCAAGGUCAGGUGUGAAAUCCCCAGCUCAACCUGGGAACUGCACUUGAAACUGGUCGGCCUUGAGUGUUGGAGAGGGAAGCGGAAUUCCUGGAUGUAGAGGUGAAAUUCGUAGAUAGUCAGGAGGAACACCGGUGGCCGAAGGCGGCUCCUGGACAAUUACUGACGCUGAGACGCGAAAGCGUGGGGAGCAAACAGG